rnacentral:rRNA from 1 species
AGCGAACGCUGGCGGCAGGCUUAACACAUGCGAGUCGAGCGGGCAUCCUUGUGGUGUCAGCGGCAGACGGGUGAGUAACGCGUGGGAACGUGCCCUUCGGUUCGGAAUAACUCAGGGAAACUUGAGCUAAUACCGGAUACGUGCGAGAGCAGAAAGGUUUAUCUGCCGAAGGAUCGGCCCGCGUCUGAUUAGCUAGUUGGUGAGGUUAUGGCUCACCAAGGCGACGAUCAGUAGCUGGUCUGAGAGGAUGAUCAGCCACACUGGGACUGAGACACGGCCCAGACUCCUACGGGAGGCAGCAGUGGGGAAUAUUGGACAAUGGGGGCAACCCUGAUCCAGCCAUGCCGCGUGAGUGAUGACGGCCUUAGGGUUGUAAAGCUCUUUUCUCCGGGACGAUAAUGACGGUACCGGAGGAAUAAGCCCCGGCUAACUUCGUG